rnacentral:rRNA from 1 species
CCUACGGGCGGCAGCAGUAAGGAAUCUUCCGCAAUGGGCGAAAGCCUGACGGAGCAACGCCGCGUGGGCGAUGAAGGCCUUCGGGUCGUAAAGCCCUUUUCUGUGGGACGAUAAUGACGGUACCACAGGAAUAAGCCACGGCUAACUACGUGCCAGCAGCCGCGGUAAUACGUAGGUGGCUAGCGUUAUCCGGAUUCACUGGGCGUAAAGAGCGCGUAGGCGGUGUGCUAAGUUGGACGUGAAAGCCCCCGGCUUAACCGGGGGAGGUCGUCCAAUACUGGUGCACUUGAGGGUGGACGGGGAAAGCGAAAUUCCCGGUGUAGUGGUGAAAUGCGUAGAGAUCAGGAGGAACACCGAUGGCGAAGGCAGCCCCCGGGGUUGACACUGACGCUCAGGCACGAAAGCGUGGGGAGCAAACAGGAUUAGAUACCCCUGUAGU